GAGAGAGACAGAGAGAGAUAGAGACAGAGAGAAACCGAUAGAGGGAAGUGGAUCAUCCAAGCGGCAACCAUUACAGCCCAGCAUGAGAAGCUCCUAAUCCGCAGCUCUCUUUCUCUCUCUUUCUCUCUCUCUCUUCCUCUUACUCAAUGGAACUCGUCCUGCCAUUCCAGUCGGACGUUCUCCCAACGAGUGGUUGACCCCUGGGAGCGCUGACCUUCAAACCCUAGCUCUGGUCCACGUACGGUUCGACCCUCAUGGAGCCCGACCACGCCCCAGCCCCUGUGGCUCCUGACCCGCUCCCUGGGGUAGGAUCUGCCCAACAGGGGGUAGUAGAACCUGAGGACUUCCUCGGCUGCCGGACCCCCCCAGACCCGUCCCCCUGCCCGGCGCACGAGGUUGACCGCGUCCAAACAGCCUGCCCUGUGUCUGACACAGACAACACUCACACGUCAAGACCUGCAAACGACUCACAGAGUCUCCGAACGGUUCACAGCGCGAAUGACUCAGAGAGUCUCAGAACGGCUCACAGCAUGACUGAUUCAGAAAGUCUCCAAACGGCUCACGACAUAAACGAUUCAGAAAGUCUCCGUACGGCUAACGGCACAAAUGAUUCAGAGAGUCUCAGAACGGCUCAGGGCACGACUGACACAGACAUUUACCAAACGGCUCACGCCAUGAAUGAUGCGGACAGCCUCCGCACGAUACCACCGACCCUACGACACCGACAGCAACCUGACCAAUCAGCUCGCUUACGACAGCGCCAGCAACCAGACCAUCAACCCCUCCUCAGACACAGACAGCAAUCAAACCAUACACCCCCCCUACCCGCCACACACACACCUACCCGGACCGCCGAGUCUUGGGCGAAUGUGUUGUGGCUGGGUCAGAGGGCGACGCCCCCACCACCAGCCAUGAGACAGGCCUCCAAGACGCCUCUGAGGACCCGCCCCCUUACAGCCCCCCCGACCCAAAGCUGGCGUAUCUUUUCUACCCCCCCACCCUGCCCCACUACUCUGGGCAGCCUGUCAUGGCCUGCCAGCCCCCCCCAACCCCCCCCGGCUUCUACCAGCCCCAGUUCAUGCCCUCGCCCACUUACCCGCCCUACGCCAUAUACAUGAACGGGUCGUCCCUGGGGGAGGAUCAGCCCCCCCUCCCUAAAGACUACCUGGUGGAGUCGCUGCUGGUCACCAUCUUCUGCUGCCUGAUGAGUGGACUGGUCGCACUCAUGUACUCAUAUGAGGUGGGCAUAAUUAACAGGGUUUACCAGGUGGGCACAGUCACCUAGGUGUACUCGUAUGUAAGGUGGGCACAGUGAUAUGGGUUUACUCGUAAUGAAGGUGGGCACAGUGAUAUGGGUUUACUCGUAAUGAAGGUGGGCAUAGUCAUAUGGGUUUACUCGUAUGUAAGGGUGUCAGGUGUCAGGGUCACUUGUGUUUAGUAGGCACCUUAUGAAGUGGACUAAUCUGCCUGGGUUUACUCACAGGAGUCAGUACAUCUUUGGCAAUCACUCUGAUAUAUAUAUAUAUAUAUAUAUAUACACAGUUUUUAAUUUGUUUUAAAUAUACUGAAUCCAUAUUAGUUGGUCACCAGUGCAUCCUUUAACUGAUGUGUAACAAGGGUAGAGUUACUUCAGAGGACUCUAUAAGAACGGUGGGCACAGCCACAUUGACGUUGUGUUGUUGUAACAGGUAGAUACAGACAUGCUGGUGCCGUCCUUGUUUAGGGGAGGGUCUCAGACAAACUGACUGAUUAGUAUCAUGUAGAAAUAGAGAGUGGUACAUUUGCUCCGACACACUUGGUCAAGGGUGGUCAGUUCAUGAAGAUGGCCUCUGACUCUGUGAUGUUGGUCCAUUCAUGAUGAUGGCCUCUGACUCUGAGAGGUUGAAUAACACUGCAGGAGCCGUGACUUAUUCAUUUCCGAAGAAGAACCAAAAACGAAACAUUGUAGAGACAAAGUGGCAAACGCUAACCGUGAUGCAUUUGGUUUACUGCGGUGAAAGUCCAGGAGUGCCAAUAGAUAAUUAACCACUGGGUCACACUGUAGGCAGCCUGUAGCUGCUUUAAUGAACCAGUGGGUCAUACUGUAGACAGCCUGCCUGCAGUUGCCAUGUGCAAGGGUUUCCAAUGCUUGGACCAAAACCACUAUGUUCUCUGACUAAACAUCCAGACACCCACACAGGAAACAGCAUGGCUGCACUGGACAUGUGACACGUAUGAAUGAGCUCAGCAUAUUACACUGCUGUGUCUCCAUCAUGACUCUACAUUGGUAUCAUAAACCAGUGUCACCAUAGUGACUGCUAUCACAAACUAGUGUCUCCAUCAUGACUGCUAUCACAAACUAGUGUCACCAUCAUGACUGCUAUCACAAACCAGUGUCACCAUCAUGACUGCUAUCACAAACUAGUGUCACCAUCAUGACUGCUACCACAAACUAGUGUCACCAUCAUGACUGCUAUCACAAACCAGUGUCACCAUCAUGACUGCUAUCACAAACCAGUGUCACCAUCAUGACUGCUGUCACAAACCAGUGUCUCCAUAUUGACUCUACACUGCUGUCACAAACCAGUGUCUCCAUCGUGACAUCAUGACUGCUAUCACAAACCAGUGUCUUCAUAUGACACAAACCCAAGAAAGAUUAGGUCAUAUGUUAGUAGCCUAUUGGCAGUCUGGUCAUUCCUGUGUUUAAGUGUACGUAUCUGAACAAAUAUAGCAUUAGUUGUUGACUUGUGUUUCUCCUCCCCUUUCUCUCUCUUUAUAUUCUCUCCAUUUUUUGUUUUUUUCUUCUCGUUUAACUCACAAUACCUCUCAUUUUCUCCUCUU